UCUUUCCUACGGGGCGCAGCAGUGAGGAAUAUUGGUCAAUGGGAGAGAUCCUGAACCAGCCACGCCGCGUGAGGGAAGACGGCCCUAUGGGUUGUAAACCUCUUUUGUCGGAGAACAAAACCCGGGACGUGUCCCGGACUGCGUGUAUCCGAAGAAAAAGCAUCGGCUAACUCCGUGCCAGCAGCCGCGGUAAUACGGAGGAUGCGAGCGUUAUCCGGAUUUACUGGGUGUAAAGGGAGCGUAGACGGCGAUGCAAGUCUGAAGUGAAAGGCGGGGGCCCAACCCCCGGACUGCUUUGGAAACUG
rnacentral:rRNA from 1 species